rnacentral:tRNA from 1 species
GGUGGUGUGGCCUAGUCGGUAAAGCGUUUGAUCUCCGACAAGAAGGUCGCGGGUUCGAAUCCUGCUCUUUCAUAUCUUCA